rnacentral:rRNA from 1 species
GUGCAGCAGGCGCGAAACCUUCACAAUGCACGCAAGUGCGAUGGGGGGACUCCGAGUGUAAUCUUCCCACAAGGAAGGUCGCUUUUCUGCACUGUAAGGAGGUGCCGGAACAAGGGGUGGGCAAUACUGCUGCCAGCCGCCGCGGUAAUAGCAGAACCCCAAGUGGUAGUCGUUAUUAUUGGGCUUAAAGUGUUCGUAGCCGGCCGUGCAAGUCCGCUGUGAAAUCCAGGCGCUUAACGUCUGGGCGUGCAGCGGAUACUGCACUGGCUAGGGACCGGACGGUGUCGAGGCUAUUCCAGGAGUAGGAGGUGAAAUCCUAAAAUUCCUGGAGGAGCGCCUGUGGCGGAAGCGCUCGACAAGUACGGAUCCGACGGUGAGGAACGAAAGCCAGGGGAGCAAAGCGGAUUAGAUACCCGCGUAGUCCUGGCCGUUAACAUUGCCCGUUUGAUGUCACGCCACACCUUCGGGGUUGGCUGGUGCCGUAAG